rnacentral:rRNA from 1 species
AGAGUUUGAUCCUGGCUCAGGAUGAACGCUAGCGGCAGGCUUAAUACAUGCAAGUCGAACGGUAAAUAUUUUAGCAAUAAGAUAUGAGAGUGACGUACGGGUGCGUAACACGUAUGCAACCUACCUUGGUACAGGAGUAUAGCUCGGGGAAACUCGAAUUAACCCUUCAUAAGAUCAUAGAAUGGCAUCAUUUAGUGAUUAAAUCUUCGGAGGUACAAGAUGGGCAUGCGUCUGAUUAGUUAGUUGGCGGGGUAACGGCCCACCAAGACGAUGAUCAGUAGGGGAACUGAGAGGUUGAUCCCCCACACUGGCACUGAGAUACGGGCCAGACUCCUACGGGAGGCAGCAGUAGGGAAUAUUGGUCAAUGGAUGGAAGUCUGAACCAGCCAUGCCGCGUGCAGGAAGAAGGCCUUCUGGGUUGUAAACUGCUUUUGCCAGGGGAUAAAAUGACCGUGCGCGGUUAAUUGAAGGUACCUGGUGAAUAAGCCACGGCUAACUACGUGCCAGCAGCCGCGGUAAUACGUAGGUGGCAAGCGUUGUCCGGAUUUAUUGGGUUUAAAGGGUGCGUAGGCGGUCUAUUAAGUCAGCGGUGAAAUACUCCAGCUUAACUGGAGGGGUGCCAUUGAUACUGAUGGACUUGAGUCAAGUCGAGGUAGGCGGAAUUGACGGUGUAGCGGUGAAAUGCUUAGAUAUCGUCNAG